CCCAAUGUGAACGUUACCAAACUGUUGCCUCGGCGGGAUCUCUGCCCCGGGUGCGUCCCAGCCCCGGACCAAGGCGCCCGCCGGAGGACCAACCAAAACUCUUAUUGUAUACCCCCUCGCGGGUUUUUUUAUAAUCUGAGCCUUCUCGGCGCCUCUCGUAGGCGUUUCGAAAAUGAAUCAAAACUUUCAACAACGGAUCUCUUGGUUCUGGCAUCGAUGAAGAACGCAGCGAAAUGCGAUAAGUAAUGUGAAUUGCAGAAUUCAGUGAAUCAUCGAAUCUUUGAACGCACAUUGCGCCCGCCAGUAUUCUGGCGGGCAUGCCUGUCCGAGCGUCAUUUCAACCCUCGAACCCCUCCGGGGGGUCGGCGUUGGGGAUCGGCCCUGCCUUGGCGGUGGCCGUCUCCGAAAUACAGUGGCGGUCUCGCCGCAGCCUCUCCUGCGCAGUAGUUUGCACACUCGCAUCGGGAGCGCGGCGCGUCCACAGCCGUUAAACACCCAACUUCUGAAAUGUUGACCUCGGAUCAGGUAGGAAUACCCGCUGAACUUAAGCAUAUCAUAAAGGGGGGAAGAAAAUCCCAAACCCAAAUGGUGAACGGUUACCAAACUGUUGCCUCGGG
rnacentral:rRNA from 1 species